rnacentral:tRNA from 1 species
GGGCCAGUAGCGUAAACCGGUAUCGCGCACCGCUGGCAGCGGUGAGAUUUCGGGUUCAAAAAGCCAGUAUUCACGACAAAAUUUCGUUGUAGGAUUGAACAAAGUGAACUCCUACUUAAGAAUCUCGCACAGGAUACUUGCAUUGAAAGUCCCGACUGGUCCA